rnacentral:misc_RNA from 1 species
AAGUCGUAACAAGGUUUCCGUAGGUGAACCUGCGGAAGGAUCAUUAUUGAAUAAACCUGAUGAGUUGAGCUGGUUCUUUUGGGGACAAUGUGCUCACUUGUCAUCUUUAUAUCUCCACCUGUGCACCUUUUGUAGACCUGGAUAACUUUCUGAGGUAACUCAGUUUUGAGGAUUGCUUUAACUAGCUUUCUUUACAUUUCCUGGCCUAUGUUUUUCAUAUACCCCUUGUAUGUAAUAGAAUGUUUUACUGGGCUUCAGUGCCUAUAAACUAUAUACAACUUUCAGCAACGGAUCUCUUGGCUCUC